CCGUGGUUGUGGAAAAGAUGUUCGUCUGUUUGAGAAGGGUCAAAUCAUUGGCAUGCAUCAAACAGAGAAAACCUCUAAGGAGAUUGCAGAAACUACUAAAAUUGGGUUAAGAACUGUCCGACGUAUUAUUAGAAACUGGAGGAAUAGUGGGGAACCACCAUUUCAUGGUAAGAAGAGAGGCAGUUGAAGUGGCCUAAGGCACACCUGUGAGGUAGAUGGAUUAUCUCGGCAAAGGAGAAGUGCUCAAUAACAGAUUUAGACAGAUUUGUGAACAAUAUUUGCGAGAAAUAGGCCUUUUGUGUACAUAGAAAAAGUCUUCGACCUUUGAGUUCCGCAAAAACAAUUGUUGUGUUGAUAAUUUUGUUCAGUAAAUCUAUAUAGAUGUUUCUAAAUUUGUGCUUGAGUGGGUG